rnacentral:tRNA from 1 species
AAUACAAGGACCGCAUUAGUGGGCUACUCUGAUAUAGUAGACUGUAGAGGUAUCUCUCUGUAUUA